rnacentral:rRNA from 1 species
UACGAAGGGGGGCUAGCGUUUGCUCGGAAUCACUGGGGCGUAAAGCGCACGUAGGCGGCUUUUUUAAGUCAGGGGUGAAAUCCCAGAGCUCAACUCUGGAACUGCCUUUUGAUACUGGGGUAUCUCGAGUAUGGAAAGAGGUGAGUGGAAAUUCCGAGUGUAGAGGUGAAAAUUCGUAGAUAUUCGGAGGAACACCAGUGGCGAAGGCGGCUCACUGGUCCAUUACUGACGCUGAGGGUGCGAAAAGCGUGGGGGAGCAAAACAGG